rnacentral:rRNA from 1 species
GACGAACGCUGGCGGCGUGCUUAACACAUGCAAGUCGAGCGGAAAGGCCUUUCGGGGUACUCGAGCGGCGAACGGGUGAGUAACACGUGAGUAAUCUGCCCUUCACUCUGGGAUAGCCACCGGAAACGGUGAUUAAUACCGGAUACGACCGUCCCCGGCACCGGGUGGUGGUGGAAACUUCUUUGGGUGGGGGAUGUGCUCGCGGCCUAUCAGCUUGUUGGUGGGGUAAUGGCCUACCAAGGCUUCGACGGGUAGCCGGCCUGAGAGGGUGACCGGCCACACUGGGACUGAGACACGGCCCAGACUCCUACGGGAGGCAGCAGUGGGGAAUAUUGGACGAUGGGCGGAAGCCUGAUCCAGCAACGCCGCGUGAGGGAUGACGGCCUUCGGGUUGUAAACCUCUUUCAGCACCGACGAAGCGCAAGUGACGGUAGGUGCAGAAGAAGGACCGGCCAACUACGUGCCAGCCGCCGCAGUAACAC